rnacentral:lncRNA from 1 species
CGCCGCCAUACUGCGGGGCAACCCAAACUAGUUACACACCGGCACCAACUCCUCCUCCCGCCGCCGCCCUGCCCCCGCCGCCGCGGGGAGGAGGGGGCUGCACCGCGCAGCCGGCAGCGGGGAAGGCGCCGAGGCAGGCGGGGCCGGGCAGCGCAGCGCCGGCGGACCCCCGCAGCACUCAGAUGGCUUUUGGCAUUCUGAAGUCAGUGAAGCUGGAAGGCAAAUAAAAAAAGGACGUGUUUCUGACGGCUCCAUAGCUCCAGGGGUGUGCAGGGAGGCUCCAAGGUGUGACAGCAUCAUUUAUUUCUGCAACGGAACAGAAGAAUGCGCUCAGCUGCGCUUCUCAGCAGCUCUGCAGCCUGUGGACAGUGUGGGCAGUUUUCUGUACGCAGCAUCCGGGAAAAUGUGCGUUCCCUUGAAGUGAUCUGCUAAAAAGCACGUACUUGUACAGUUGUUGUAGCCUGCCUUGUUGCACUGCUUUUACGGUCUGAAAUGCCUGGUCUUUAAUACUGCCUGGGAU